AUAAGUGGAAGUCUCUGGCUGAUUGCAGAGUGGUUGCAGUAUUACCAGGUCAGGAAAAAAGGUCAUACUAGGAUAGGAAUGCAACCUGAACCCGGGUCUUCAGUGAUACAGCCUCACACCUGCUGGUCAUCAAUCCCCUGUUGUACCCAUGCUCAUACAGGCCUCAUCACAUCAGCAAGAAUGGGUCACAGUACAGGUAUCAUCCAGGGAGCAGUGAUGGACUUCCCAU